CCUACGGGAGGCUGCAGUGGGGAAUAUUGGACAAUGGGCGAAAGCCUGAUCCAGCCAUGCCGCGUGUGUGAAGAAGGCCUUCGGGUUGUAAAGCACUUUCAGUGGGGAAGAAAGCCUUGGGGCUAAUACCCUCGAGGAAGGACAUCACCCACAGAAGAAGCACCGGCUAACUCCGUGCCAGCAGCCGCGGUAAUACGGAGGGUGCGAGCGUUAAUCGGAAUUACUGGGCGUAAAGCGCGCGUGGCGGUCUGAUAAGCCGGUUGUGAAAGCCCCGGGCUCAACCUGGGAACGGCAUCCGGAACUGUCAGGCUAGAGUGCAGAAGAGGAAGGUAGAAUUCCCGGUGUAGCGGUGAAAUGCGUAGAGAUCGGGAGGAAUACCAGUGGCGAAGGCGGCCUUCUGGACUGACACUGACGCUGAGGUGCGAAAGCGUGGGUAGCAAACAGGAUUAGAUACCCAGUAGUC
rnacentral:rRNA from 1 species